rnacentral:lncRNA from 1 species
CAGCCUAAAUACUGGUUUUAUGAAUCAUCAGUCACACCAAGCGAAUUUUUAAAAGCUAAAUUUUGCCUUUACAGCCUUCGUCGAUGAGACUUUCCUCCUCUUCAGCCCCGGGGGGUCACGACUACACACUGUUGUGUGAAGGAAACUGUCGCUAACGCAAAGUGCCGCGCUGCUUCUGGCCUCAACGAGCCACAGCGGCGCGUCACCGCGGACGACGACGUCGCUCUGCCGCCGCCCACCAACAACACUUCAUCUACAACUGCGCCUCUGCUCAUCUGACGACUCCCCAGAUGAAAUUUAGGAGGGUUUUCGCCCAGCCGAAGGUUUUAGAAACUUUGUGGGGCAACUUCAAGACCUUCAAGACCACAGUUGUUCUGCUGGUUUCACCCAGAUCACCUGAGAUCCACCUCCGAUCCAAACAGGUCUGCAGAGGCAGGAAGUGCCUCCUCACCUCAGCCACUAAUUAAAGAGGCAUUAGCCAGUGACAGAUGGUCCCCGGUCGGACAUGAGAGUGAGGAAAGUGGGGCAGCAGCCGAGCUUCCCCAGUGGAUGCUGGACCAGCGCUCACAAACACAGCGAGAGAGGACCGCAGAUGGCCCGGAACCCUUUCCAGGGUUCAUC